rnacentral:rRNA from 1 species
AUUGAACGCUGGCGGCGUGCUUAACACAUGCAAGUCGAUCGGUAACAGGUGUAGCAAUACAUGCUGACGAGAGGCGGACGGGUGAGGAACGCUUGGGAAUCUGCCUAUCAGCGGGGGACAACCCGGGGGAACCCGGGCUAAUACCGCAUACGCUCUACGGAGGAAAGCCGGGACCGCAAGGCCUGGCACUGAUAGAUGAGCCCAAGCCGGAUUAGCUAGUUGGCGGGGUAACGGCCCACCAAGGCGACGAUCCGUAGCUGGUCUGAGAGGACGAUCAGCCACACCGGAACUGAGACACGGUCCGGACUCCUACGGGAGGCAGCAGUGGGGAAUAUUGGACAAUGGGCGAAAGCCUGAUCCAGCGACGCCGCGUGGGUGAAGAAGGCCUGCGGGUUGUAAAGCCCUUUCGGUAGGGACGAAAGCUCUCGACCUAACACGUCGGGAGGUUGACUUAACCUACAAAAGAAGCACCGGCUAACUCUGUGCCAGCAGCCGCAGUAAAAC